AUUGAACGCUGGCGGCAGGCCUAACACAUGCAAGUCGAGCGGAUGAAGGGAGCUUGCUCCUGGAUUCAGCGGCGGACGGGUGAGUAAUGCCUGGAAAUUUGCCGGGUGUGGGGGGUAACCUUCGGGAACGGGCCGCUAUUACCCCUACCUCCCUGGGGAGGAAGUGGGGGAUUCUUGGGCCCUCCGGCUAUAGGUUAACCUAGGUCGGAUUAGCUAGUUGGGGGGGUAAAGGCCUACCAAGGCGACGAUCCGUAACUGGUCUGAGAGGAUGAUCAGUCACACUGGAACUGAGACACGGUCCAGACUCCUACGGGAGGCAGCAGUGGGGAAUAUUGGACAAUGGGCGAAAGCCUGAUCCAGCCAUGCCGCGUGUGUGAAGAAGGUCUUCGGAUUGUAAAGCACUUUAAGUUGGGAGGAAGGGCAGUAAGUUAAUACCUUGCUGUUUUGACGUUACCAACAGAAUAAGCACCGGCUAACUUCGUG
rnacentral:rRNA from 1 species